rnacentral:misc_RNA from 1 species
UAAUAAGUGUUUUAUGGCACUUUUUUAAAUCCAUAUCCACCUUGUGUGCAAUGGUCAGUCGGUUUUCUAUUUUCGUCAAGAAAAAAUAGGAUCGACCAAACAUCAACUUAUUCUAAUUGAACUUUUGUCUGAAAACUAUUAUGAAUAAACUAAUUCAAAAUA